GAUGAACGCUGGCGGCGUGCCUAAUACAUGCAAGUCGAGCGAACGGACGAGAAGCUUGCUUCUCUGAUGUUAGCGGCGGACGGGUGAGUAACACGUGGAUAACCUACCUAUAAGACUGGGAUAACUUCGGGAAACCGUAGCUAAUACCGGAUAAUAUUUUGAACCGCAUGGUUCAAAAGUGAAAGACGGUCUUGCUGUCACUUAUAGAUGGAUCCGCGCUGCAUUAGCUAGUUGGUAAGGUAACGGCUUACCAAGGCAACGAUGCAUAGCCGACCUGAGAGGGUGAUCGGCCACACUGGAACUGAGACACGGUCCAGACUCCUACGGGAGGCAGCAGUAGGGAAUCUUCCGCAAUGGGCGAAAGCCUGACGGAGCAACGCCGCGUGCGUGAUGAAGGUCUUCGGAUCGUAAAACUCUGUUAUUAGGGAAGAACAUAUGUGUAAGUAACUGUGCACAUCUUGACGGUACCUAAUCAGAAAGCCACGGCUAACUACGUG
rnacentral:rRNA from 1 species